rnacentral:rRNA from 1 species
AACGAACGCUGGCGGCAUGCCUAACACAUGCAAGUCGAACGAGACCUUCGGGUCUAGUGGCGCAUGGGUGCGUAACGCGUGGGAACCUGCCCUUAGGUUCGGAAUAACUCCCCGAAAGGGGUGCUAAUACCGGAUAAUGUCUUCGGACCAAAGAUUUAUCGCCUUUGGAUGGGCCCGCGUUGGAUUAGCUAGUUGGUAGGGUAAAAGCCUACCAAGGCGACGAUCCAUAGUUGGUCUGAGAGGAUGAUCAGCCACACUGGGACUGAGACACGGCCCAGACUCCUACGGGAGGCAGCAGUGGGGAAUAUUGGACAAUGGGCGAAAGCCUGAUCCAGCAAUGCCGCGUGAGUGAUGAAGGCCUUAGGGUUGUAAAGCUCUUUUACCCGGGAUGAUAAUGACAGUACCGGGAGAAUAAGCUCCGGCUAACUCCGUG